rnacentral:rRNA from 1 species
UGAACGCUGGCGGCGUGCUUAACACAUGCAAGUCGAACGAUGAAGCCUAGCUUGCUAGGUGGAUUAGUGGCGCACGGGUGAGUAAUAUAUAGAUAACGUGCCUCUUAGUCUGGGAUAGCCAUUGGAAACGAUGAUUAAUACUAGAUACUCCUUCUGAUUCUAAUUUCAGUCGGGAAAGUUUUUCGCUAAGAGAUCGGUCUAUAUCCCAUCAGUUAGUUGGUAGGGUAAUGGCCUACCAAGGCAAUGACGGGUAGCGGGUUUGAGAGGAUGAUCCGCCACACUGGUACUGAGACACGGACCAGACUCCUACGGGAGGCAGCAGUGAGGAAUAUUGCACAAUGGGGGAAACCCUGAUGCAGCAACGCCGCGUGGAGGAUGACGCAUUUCGGUGUGUAAACUCCUUUUAUAAGGGAAGAAAAUGACGGUACCUUAUGAAUAAGCACCGGCUAACUCC